UAUGAUUCAUUUCUUCUUGGAAACCUCUGGCCCUUCUGUAUUUUUUCUUCCCAAAAAAGUUAGGUAUUCACCCUAAUAGAUGAAGGACCUGUGGUAUAAAAUGCCUGUCUCAGCCUCCCUAGCCAUUGGGUUUACAGGCAUGUGCCACUAAGCCUGGCAAGGGUAUAAUAUUUUGUCAGCUUCAGUAAAUAUAAAAUAAGUGACAGGUAUUUUUGUAUUCAUGUUAUAAAGUGUAAAAAAUGACUGAUAGGAAAAAAGAAUUAAGCAUUAAGGAUUUAUCGUGCUUUUCCCAUACGGACUAUAUUUUGGAGUGAGCAAUAGGUAAUAUUUUUGACGAUGAGUUGAUGAUCGUGAGAACUUUUUUAGCAAGUUAUUUAUUCAUUGACUUAUUGGUAUAUUAUGAUUACACAUACUAAUGGGAUUCAUUGUGACAUAUUCCUACAUGCAUAUGAUAUAAUUUGGUCAGUUUCAUUUCCCAGUUCUUCCCCUUUCUCUUACCAUCUCCUUCUCCCUGGUCCACUUUCUCUACUCAACUGGUUUCCCUUCCUCUCCCUUCCAUUAUAAGAACUCAUUUUUGAGGUGGGGGAAGGGACUGAGGAUUGAACCCAGGUGUGCUUUACCAUUGAGUCCCAUUCCCAGUCUUUUUUAUUUCUUUAUUUUGAGACAGGGUCUUAAUAAGUUGUUUAGGGUCUUGUUAAUUCUCCCAAAUAUGAGAAUUCUGAAGAAAUGAAUCAUGAAAGGAAGCUAUCAAAUAUUAUAGGGUUAUCUUUUAUAUACAGUACAGUUAUACAUUUUUUGAGGCAUACCAUUGAUGGCAUAUAUCUUAUGGAUAAAAAAUUGUUUUCAGCCUAAGGAAGAGAUGUAAAUAUAUGUAAAAUAUAUUUAUAGUAUCAAAAUAACAAGUCACAUUGCCAUAAACAACAUGACUACUGAGGGUUGACUACUGAAUGUACUUUUGGGUCAGGGGAUAUAGGGGAUUGAACUCAGGGAUACUUGACCACUGCACCAUAUCCCCAGCCCUAUUUUGUUGUUUUUUUUGGGGGGUGGGGGUGUACGUGGGGAACAGGGUCUCACUGAGUUGCUUAGUGCCUUGCUUUUGCUGGGCUGGCUUUGUAUUUGUGAUCCUUCUGCCUCAGCCUCCCAAGCUACUGGGAUUAUAGGCAAGUGCUACCACGCCUGGCUUUGAAUG
rnacentral:lncRNA from 1 species